ensembl:lncRNA
AGGUGUCUGCCAUCAGAUCCCUCACUACAGACUGCAUGCUGACGGACUUCACUGGGCCUGCUACCUGAGACUUGCUUCUUCCUCCUGGACUUACUCUGCGGCUUCUUCCUGGACCCACCCGGUACCUGCACCCUCUCGUUGCCCAAGACCGGCCUCGCUGCUCCCGCCCUUUGGCCUCGGACCAUCGGAACAGCAUGUAACAGACCGCUGCUGGAUCUUGCUGAAAGAGACUUACCGGUUGGCUUCACUUUUCAAUAAGCCCAGGUUACUAGCACCACCACCGCAGCAGCAAGGCAGCCACAUGGCAAUAUGUUCACCUGGACAGCAGCUGUAAUCAUUUCACAAAUCUCACAGCUCAGCCAGUGUAAGGAGGGGCAACUGAUAGAGUGUCAAUGGUUGGUUCUCUAGUUGAACUGCUGGGCUUGUUGCAAGGAUUGGAGUGACCACAGAACUGGCUGUGAGAGUCAUGGCACCUACAAAGCCCAUCAGAAGUGUUAAUGGAGGAGCUGAAGCAAACAUAAGGCUUGUUGCAGGAACUGGAGCAACCACAGGGAUGUACCUCUCACAGGAAAUGUUUCUUCUUUGUCUCAUGGCAAUACUUGGAACUGCCACAAGACCCACAGCAGGAGGAACCAUAGGACUGAUUACAAGUGCUGGAGUGACAGCAGAGUCUGUCACAAUUUUCAGAGCAAUGCAGGACCUGUUGCAGGAAUUUGAGAUGCUGCAGGGUCUAUAACAGGAGCUGAGGGGUCUUCAGCAUUGUCAUCACAUCCAGAAGUAUUCUCCUUCUUGAGAGUGCUAAAUAGUAUUGAACAGUGCUUGGUAAGUAUAGGCCAGUAUGCUACAGUGAUUUAUUCCACUUAAGGAUUGCCAGGGUGACAACAGACCUCUUCCAAACAUUCUACUGAUUUUCCAGGAUUCUGCAGUUGUUCAGAGGUGAAGUUCUUCAACCACUGGGUGUGCCUACAGCUCUAAGCACCUGCCCAUACCAUCCCAUGCUCUCUGCCACUCAGAACUAUACUGCCUUGGUAACAUUCUUAUAUAAUUGUUUAAUCUUAAACAUAAUCUGAAAUGCAUUCAUGACACAUACUAAUAAGAGCAUGCUGGUUUGAACAUCCCAAGAAUACUCAAAAUUCUCAAGAGCUAUUGUAAUUAGCUCACAGAAUGGCCUGGGUUGAAAAGGACCACAAUGAUCAUUGAGUUUCAACCCCCCUGCUAUGUGCAGUGUCACCAACCACUAGACCAAGCUGCCCAGAGCCACAUCCAGCCUGGUCUUGAAUGCUUCCAGGGAUGGGGCAUCCACAACCUCCUUGGGCAACCUGUUCCAGUGUGUCACCACCCUCUGUGUGAAAAACUUCUUCCUAAUAUCUAACCUAAACAUCCCCUGUCUCAGUUUAAAACCAUUCCCCCUUGUAUUAUCACCAUCCACCCUCGCAAACAGCUGUUCCCCCUCCUGUUUAUAUGCUCCCUUCAAGUACUGCAAGGCCACAAUGAGGUCUCCCCAGAGCCUUCUCUUCUCCAAGCUAAACAAUCCCAGUUCCCUCAACCUUUCCACAUAGGAGAGGUGCUCCAGCCCUCUGAUCAUCUUAGUGGCCCUCCUCUGAACCAAAUCCAAGAGCUCCAUGUCCUUCCUGUUCUGGGGGCCCCAGGCCUGGACACAGUACUCCAGAUGGGGCCUUGCAAGAGCCGAGUAGAAGGAGACAAUCACCUCCCUCUCCCUGCUAGCCACCCCUUUUUUUAAUGCAGCCCAGAACACACUUGGCCGCCUGGGCUGCAAGUGCACACUGCUAGCUCAUGUCCAGCUUCUCAUCUACCAGGACCCCCAAGUACUUCUCCACAGGGCUACUCUCAAGGAGAUCUUCGCCCAGUUUGUAUAAAUGCCUGGGAUUGCCCCAACCCAAGUGCAGCACCCUGCACUUGGCCUUAUUGAACCUCAUUAGGUUUUCAUGGGCCCACUUCUCCACCCUGUCCAGGUCCCUCUGGGUGGAUUCCCUUCCUUCCAACGUAUCGACUGUACCACUCAGCUUGGAGUCAUCCGCAAACUUGCUGAGGGUACACUUGAUGCCACUGUCUAUGUCAUUGAUGAAGAUGUUGAAAAGCUCAUGAGCUCUAAGGAAAGAAGGAAAAGUGAAAGAGGCUGAGAAAAGUGUCCUCCCCUAUCUCCUCCACAGCCCUGCUCCCUAAGGAGAGGAAAUAAUAUAUAUAAUUACUAAUACUAUUAACAAAAUGGUUUCAAAAACCCAAAGAUGACAGCAAGGCUGAAUAGACACAAAGCAGCAGUUUCUCAGUUGCCAAUUUGAUCAUGAUAUAUGCCAAGGCCACACAGCAUAGCAAAACAGAAACCUUAAUCCAACCUCCAGGGAUGACAACACAGCAUAGAAAAUAAGCAGUAAGCAAGGUUCUCCAUAAACAGGAAAAAAUUAACAUUGUGACCAGGAAUUAUCAAAUUACCACAACACCCUGUGUUUACACUGUCCAAUUAGAUCUGCUAUUAUCUUAACCCUUCAGACCCCAUGUUGGGUGCCAAAUUGACUGUUGUGGUUUAACCUGGCUAAGCACCACACAGUCCCAUUCAAUCACCUCUCUUCCCAAUGGGAUGGUAGAGAGAAUCACAAAAAAAAAAAAAAAAA